ACUCCUGCGGGAGGCAGCAGUGGGGAAUUUUGGACAAUGGGCGAAAGCCUGAUCCAGCAAUGCCGCGUGAGUGAAGAAGGCCUUCGGGUUGUAAAGCUCUUUUGUCAGGGAAGAAACGGUGAGAGCUAAUAUCUCUUGCUAAUGACGGUACCUGAAGAAUAAGCACCGGCUAACUACGUGCCAGCAGCCGCGGUAAUACGUAGGGUGCAAGCGUUAAUCGGAAUUACUGGGCGUAAAGCGUGCGCAGGCGGUUUUGUAAGUCUGAUGUGAAAUCCCCGGGCUCAACCUGGGAAUUGCAUUGGAGACUGCAAGGCUAGAAUCUGGCAGAGGGGGGUAGAAUUCCACGUGUAGCAGUGAAAUGCGUAGAUAUGUGGAGGAACACCGAUGGCGAAGGCAGCCCCCUGGGUCAAGAUUGACGCUCAUGCACGAAAGCGUGGGGAGCAAACAGGAUUAGAUACCCCUGUAGUCCC
rnacentral:rRNA from 1 species